AGUGAACGCUGGCGGUGGACCUAACACAUGCAAGUCGAACGGCAGCACAGUAAGAGCUUGCUCUUACGGGUGGCGAGUGGCGGACGGGUGAGGAAUACAUCGGAAUCUACUUUUUCGUGGGGGAUAACGUAGGGAAACUUACGCUAAUACCGCAUACGACCUACGGGUGAAAGCAGGGGAUCUUCGGACCUUGCGCGAUUGAAUGAGCCGAUGUCGGAUUGGCUAGUUGGCGGGGUAAAGGCCCACCAAGGCGACGAUCCGUAGCUGGUCUGAGAGGAUGAUCAGCCACACUGGAACUGAGACACGGUCCAGACUCCUACGGGAGGCAGCAGUGGGGAAUAUUGGACAAUGGGCGCAAGCCUGAUCCAGCCAUACCGCGUGGGUGAAGAAGGCCUUCGGGUUGUAAAGCCCUUUUGUUGGGAAAGAAAAGCAGCAGGUUAAUACCCCGCUGUUCUGACGGUACCCAAAGAAUAAGCACCGGCUAACUUCGUG
rnacentral:rRNA from 1 species